CACGUAGGAUGCGAGCGUUGUCCGGAAUCAUUGGGCGUAAAGAGCGCGCAGGCGGCUUGGCAAGUCGGUCGUGAAAUCCCGGGGCUCAACCCCGGGACUGCAUUCGAUACUGUCAGGCUAGAGGUAGGUAGGGGAGAUCGGAAUUCCUGGUGUAGCGGUGAAAUGCGCAGAUAUCGGGAGGAACACCAAUUGCGAAGGCAGCUCGCUGGGACGUGACUGACGCUGAGGUGCGAAAGCUAGGGUAGCAAACGGG
rnacentral:rRNA from 1 species